rnacentral:rRNA from 1 species
CGGGACGGGUGAGUAAUGUCUGGGAAACUGCCGAUGGAGGGGGAUAACUACUGGAAACGGUAGCUAAUACGCAUAACGUCGCAAGACCAAAGAGGGGGACCUUAGGGCCUCUUGCCAUCGGAUGUGCCCAGAUGGGAUUAGCUAGUAGGUGGGGUAAUGGCUCACCUAGGCGACGAUCCCUAGCUGGUCUGAGAGGAUGACCAGCCACACUGGAACUGAGACACGGUCCAG